AGAAUCUUCCCCUGCUUGAGCAGCUGAAGGAAGCGGCAUACCACCAGUGGGACCUGAGACUUCAGGAGAAAAAAAUCAGCAGAGUUGUGCCUGGAUAUCAUCCCGGGCUAGGGAGAGACACCCUGGGGGCAAAACGUCGCUGGAAUCAGACGAGGGUGCUGCCUACAGAAACAGGCACAGCUUUCUAAGUUGUGCCACAAAAACAAGCUGCUGAACACUCACGCAGUAAUGCUGUGUGAUUUACAAGGCCUUUUGCUUCUCUCAGGUCUUUGAAACAAAAGCAUCAGAAACCCUUUUGCAGAACAGAAAACUGAGGUGGCCGGUGGUGUUCAAAGGCAAUGCAGAGUGCUGUAGGGGGGAGAUCAGUACCCACGCACAUCUUGACUCUGCAACUUCAAUCCAGAAGCACAGAUCAAUCCUGAGCACCAGCUUCCGUAAGUUCCUCCCUCCCAAGGUACUGUGAGGAACACAAGAUAAAUAAGAUUCAGACCCUAUUCUCAAAGAACUUAGAAUCUAUUUGGAAAUUUCAAGCAAUGCACCCUGAAUUAUGGAUCUGCUCUAAGACAGCAUUCAAGCAGGUGCAGAGGGGCCUGGUCCACACUCUGGGUGUGCAGUUCCAAGAAGAGAAUGGGCCACACAAGGGUGAAGAGGACUAGGAGGGUUUCAUGCCGAAGAUGGACACCAGCGAGGCCUAAGAGGAGGCACAGCAGAGAACCCUGAAUUGGAAUGUGAAGAGAAAAGAGUGGACUUUUGUCACUAUUGGGAAGUAAUUCUUCAUUAUGCAAGAAUUUAUUACAUCCUUGCUAUGGGAGGGAAGAAUUAACAAGUUCUGAUGGGACCAAUGCAGAAUGGAGUCACCAUGAAGCUGUCGUGACUCACUGCGGGACACAACAUGACCGUGGUUUCCAGCUCUCUCACCUCCACUCCGCACUCCAAAUUGGACAAUUUUCCAUCAGGUGGUGACUGGCCCUUGAGUGUCCGCUUUCCCCACCCGCCAGAUGUUGUGAAUCAUAAACCCAUCAGCCUCAAGGCCUCUGUCCUCUGAAGAUGCAGGCUCUGAGGGCAGGUGGGGAGAGGGGAGAUUCCAGCAAGGCCCCACGACCGUCAGCAGCUUCCAUGGCAGAGAGGAUUCACCGGGCCAGCUGGGUCCUGGGCUUGGAGGCCGACUGGGUGUCUGUCAUCAGCUCCCUCCUGUCCCGGAAACAGCUUCUUCAAAAGGGUCUGCAGCAGCGGCUGCAGUGGGGAGGCCGGUUCAGAGCCUCUGGGGCUGUUGGAAGGUGGGAGGAGGAGGAGGGGAGGGGAGGGGUGAGGAGGAGGCCCGGAGCCCUGCCGCCUGAGUGAGGCUGGUGACACGAAGAAUCUAUCAGUCUUGUGUGCAGAGCCAAAUAUGGUGCUGGGGCUCAAUAAGUAAUAAACAAUGGUCACGUUGCCGGCUUGACAAGGAGAGGCAUUACAGAUGAGAGCCAGGGCCAGCCUGACGUCACCGCAUGUGGCCGCUCCCCACCAUGGGCAGGAAUUCCUUAUUUGUCCUUGUUGAGCCCACACGUGCUUUCUUCUUGAUGCGCUCAAAGCAGGAAGGGGAAACUGAGGCCCACGCGUCACUUCGGAGACGGGUCCCCCGGGGUGUGGUAUGAGCUGAGCCCGGGUCAUGUCUUGACUUGCUUUUGGCAGCAUUGACCACACACAGCUGGGCUCUUAGGGGCAACAGCAGUAGAUGUCAUGGCUGGAAAGAGCCAGAACUGGGACAUUUUCUAGUAGAAGUGGUUGAAGCACAUUAUUAAAAUGUGAGUUUUCGACACCCCAGGACAGCUGUUUGUAGGGGACUGGGGAACGCACAGAGCCCGAAGGCUGGCCUCUCCUUACAGCGCUGGGUGACAGGCUGGCUGGAGACAGGCCCUCACACAUUCAGAUCUGAGAGCAGAGCCGAACUGGUGGCGUGCGGGAGGGCUGGCGGGGCCAGGAUGCCUCCUGCAUCUUCCUCCUGCGCAUCAGGUUCAGGCACUGGCCUCUGAAUGAGGUGGGACCUGUCCCUUUCCCCGUGCCUGUCUGCAUUUGGGCCUUCUUAACAAUGAGAUUUCUCUGCAGCGCGUGUCCUAUAUAUGCAACUACAGAGAAGAGCUGACAAGGGAGGUAGCGUCACGUCGUGGUGAAAAGAGCACAGGAUUUUGAGCCAGAAAGACCUGGCUUUGUGUCUUAGAAUCCCAGCUGUGCCCAUCACCCGCUGUGAGACCUUAGGGUGUUCAACUCGCUCCCCACAAAAUGGGGCAAUCUCUCCCUCUCUGCGGGGUUUUCGGGAGAGUCAGAAAUAGCCCUCCGAAAGGGCCCAGCGUGGUAGGCUCCCAGGAAAUAGAGCGGAUAUGGUUCUCCUAAACUGAAACGAUGAACCACCUGUAGGCUGAUAUUGGCUAGAGCCCCUCCUCCCUCCUGCCGGCAGCUUUGCGGUUCCGAGCUCUCGAGAACGGGUUGUGGCUUUGGAAACGCAGAUGCCUUGGGCAGAAGAGAGAGAAGACUUCUCGAGGAAAGCCAAAGGGCACCGCGUUCGACUGGCACGACUCUGUCUGCACUCUGAUGGCUGUGCUGCUGGGCCCAGAAUGCUGAGCAGGGAGCCGGAGCGGGGCUGCUCUGCGGGGCAGGGGCAGGCCCAGCCGUGAGGCCGGGCUCCAUCACCGUCCUUUCCCGGCCCGUCAUCAUCCGGGAUGUGGGAGCCCCAGGUGGGGGGGGCGGUGGAGAAGCAUGCGGUUCCUGGGCUGCCCAGAAACUGCUCGCGCCACAUAGCCACCAUGCUUGUUGCAGGGAGGGAUGGUCACCAUAUGCCUUUUGCGCCGGCACGUUGAUUAGACCCGCUCCCGUUUGCUCUCCGCAAUCACCCCCUGAAUGGAAAAUUAGGAGAGCCAUAUGCAUUUGCUUCCUAUCAUCCAGGGUGGAAAACCCUGAUCCUUUGUGCCAGAAGGAAAGUGUCUAGGAGGCCAUCGGUCUACACCUUAAAUGUCAUGGAGAGAGUGUGCCAGAGCGGUGUCCACACUGAUGGACCCAAACAGUGAGGAAAAUGGGGUAAAAAUCAGAAAGGAAUAGGCACGCCAUCAUUCACACAAGAGUAGGAUUAAACCUAAAACAUGACUUAUUAGUUUUAUUUGUAAGUUUGCAAGUCAUAUUUCUCCCACAGCAAUGCUACAUUAAGAAUAGUAGAUUAGGGUGCCUGGGUGGCUCAGUUGGUUAAGCGACUGCCUUCGGCUCAGGUCAUGAUCCUGGAGUCCCCGGAUCGAGUCCCGCAUUGGGCUCCCUGCUCGGCGGGGAGCCUGCUUCUCCCUCUGACCCUCCCCCCUCUCAUGCUCUCUCUAUCUCAUUCUCUCUCUCAAAUAAAUAAAUAAAAUCUUAAAAAAAAAAAAAAGAAUAGUAGAUUAAAUAAAUAAAGAGUAAUGGCAGACUGUGACUAUUGUCAUUUGUCACCCCCCAGAGCUCCAUGUUUCUACAUGGUGGCAACAAAACCAGUGAUCUAAAUAUUAACAAGUGGAACGCAUUAUAAACACUUAGUUAUAUAUUAUGAUCCCUGUAAAGUCAUUACAACAGAAA